UCCAAAUUCAUCUUGAACUGUAUUGUGAAAAUCCGAAACUAGACAGACACUCGAACAUACAACAGCUUGCUUUGCCUACUCUAUCUUGCUUUGUCAACCCUGCAACAGUUUCUGCAACCUGGAGUACCUCAUAAAAUGUAGGACAGGGAAAAAAUGAUUUUCCCUAUGUGUUUGUAAUUCCACUCAAGGCUCCAAUAUUGACUUUCUCGCUAUUCUCCUUGUCACCAAGGGAGUCCUUGCCACAAUCUGGGCCAUCACUACCAUGGCCAUUGUUAGCGUCAAAACCAUUGGAAUCACCAUCACCGUGUCUGUCAAGGUGGCCAUCUCUUCCAUCAAUAUGCAAUGCUUCUGAAUUAUCCUUUUCUGAUUGUUUCUUCGACAAUGACUCGAUCGCUUUAAAGACAUCUGCAAAUGACACCAUCAUUUGUUUCUUGAGCAACUCAGUUGCUUUGAAGACCUCUCGAAUAUUACUCUUCAACUCUG
rnacentral:misc_RNA from 1 species